rnacentral:rRNA from 1 species
GACAGAGGGUGCAAACGUUGUUCGGAAUUACUGGGCGUAAAGCGCGUGUAGGCGGCUAUGUAAGUCGGGCGUGAAAUCCCACGGCUCAACCGUGGAAGUGCACCCGAAACUGCUUUGCUUGAGUGUCGGAGAGGAUGGCGGAAUUCCCCAAGUAGAGGUGAAAUUCGUAGAUAUGGGGAGGAACACCGGUGGCGAAGGCGGCCAUCUGGACGACAACUGACGCUGAGACGCGAAAGCGUGGGUAGCAAACAGG